rnacentral:rRNA from 1 species
GAUGAACGCUGGCGGCGUGCCUAAUACAUGCAAGUCGAGCGAACAGACGAGGAGCUUGCUCCUCUGACGUUAGCGGCGGACGGGUGAGUAACACGUGGAUAACCUACCUAUAAGACUGGGAUAACUUCGGGAAACCGGAGCUAAUACCGGAUAAUAUAUUGAACCGCAUGGUUCAAUAGUGAAAGACGGUUUUGCUGUCACUUAUAGAUGGAUCGGCGCCGCAUUAGCUAGUUGGUAAGGUAACGGCUUACCAAGGCAACGAUGCGUAGCCGACCUGAGAGGGUGAUCGGCCACACUGGAACUGAGACACGGUCCAGACUCCUACGGGAGGCAGCAGUAGGGAAUCUUCCGCAAUGGGCGAAAGCUUGACGGAGCAACGCCGCGUGAGUGAUGAAGGUCUUCGGAUCGUAAAACUCUGUUAUUAGGGAAGAACAAAUGUGUAAGUAACUAUGCACGUCUUGACGGUACCUAAUCAGAAAGCCACGGCUAACUACGUG